rnacentral:lncRNA from 1 species
GGAGCAUCUUAGGAAGCAAUUGGUUUCUCUGAUCUGGUGCAUCAAAUGUGCAGAGAGUGGCAUUGUUCAUACAGGAAUAUGAUUGUCCAUUUAGGACUAUAAAAUUGAAAAAAAAGGUAGGUUGGGACUCCACUUGUGUUUUAUCAAAUCCUUGAUGGGGUCAAGGGACUCUUAUUUUGAAGAUUCAUGCUGUCUUCUACCCUUUACUACAAAGUCUUUGCUUCGAUUAUGAUAACCAUUUCAUACUUUUCACUUCAACUUUAUUCAAUUCCCUCUUUUGGAGCUGUAGUNUUUCUUAAGCUUUUCUUCCAUUACUUGUUGUUUGUUCUUCUUCUUGGCACUUCUUUUACUGAUAAUAAACAAAGCAAAAAAAAACUUAGAAAUUUCACACACUAUCCAACUGGGAGUAACAGUCAAAACUAAAUCAUUCAAAAUUUUAGUGUGCUUCUAAUAGUCUUGGCCACUGUCGCUGAUCCCCCAUUGUCAUGCCAUCACUAUUGUCAGUUUAGACCUUUGUUUUGCCAUUUGUGACUUAUCCAACUUCUUAUUGUUUGGUUUGAUUUCUCUCUUUUUAUUGACCUACAACUUCCUCCACUCAUAUUUACCUAUUUUUUAUUGAAAUUGUGCAAAGUGAGAUCAGAGACAUNAAUCAGGCCCCAAUUUUCCUAGACACGUGUCCUAACUGGCCUUGUGGCUUUCAAGAGACAUCAAUAACCCUCCUACUNUGGUUGCCCUGUGGNUUUCUAAGAGGGAAUAUGAUUAGUAUAAAUAAAGAUAAGUACUCUAAGUCUUAUGAACACAUCAAUAAAUUUUUUUAUACAACACAGUUAAUAUCAAUUAUACUUUCAUUCUCUCUACCUCCCUUCCUCCUAUAUAUAAAACAACCAUACCAACAUAUAUUAACAAAAAAACAGGUAGAUUGCUUCAAUUUGUACACUAAUUGGCUGUAAAAACACAAAUAUUACCUAGCCAACACGGUAACAGCUGCCUUAACAGCAGGAAGAUCAUUUGGUUGGCCUGNCACUAAAAGACAAUGACACUUAAAAGAUCGGCCCUU